UUGGCGGGACCGCACAAGCGGUGGAUGAUGUGGUUUAAUUCGAUGCAACGCGAAAACCUUACCACCUUUGACAUGUACGGAAGUUGCCAGAGAUGGCUUGGUGCCCGAAAGGGAAUCGGAACACAGGUGCUGCAUGGCUGUCGUCAGCUCGUGUCGUGAGAUGUUGGGUUAAGUCCCGCAACGAGCGCAACCCUUAUCAUUAGUUGCUACGCAAGGGCACUCUAAUGAGACUGCCGGUGACAAACCGGAGGAAGGUGGGGAUGACGUCAAGUCCUCAUGGCCCUUAUGGGUAGGGCUUCACACGUCAUACAAUGGUCGGUACAGAGGGUUGCCAAGCCGCGAGGCGGAGCCAAUCCCACAAAGCCGAUCGUAGUCCGGAUUGUUCUCUGCAACUCGAGAGCAUGAAGUCGGAAUCGCUAGUAAUCGCAGGUCAGCAUACUGCGGUGAAUACGUUCCCGGGUCUU
rnacentral:rRNA from 1 species